UGGGGAAUAUUGGACAAUGGGGGGAACCCUGAUCCAGCCAUGCCGCGUGUGUGAAGAAGGCCUUAUGGUUGUAAAGCACUUUAAGCGAGGAGGAGGGUACUGGUAUUAAUACUACCAGGUACUGGACGUUACUCGCAGAAUAAGCACCGGCUAACUCUGUGCCAGCAGCCGCGGUAAUACAGAGGGUGCGAGCGUUAAUCGGAUUUACUGGGCGUAAAGCGUGCGUAGGCGGCUAAUUGAGUCGGAUGUGAAAUCCCCGAGCUUAACUUGGGAAUUGCAUUCGAUACUGGUUAGCUAGAGUGUGGGAGAGGAUGGUAGAAUUCCAGGUGUAGCGGUGAAAUGCGUAGAUAUAGGAAGGAACACCAGUGGCGAAGGCGACCACCUUGGCUCAUACUGACACUGAGGUGCGAAAGCGUGGGGAGCAAACAGG
rnacentral:rRNA from 1 species